UUCCUUUUGUAGUUUAUAAGUGUGUUAAUUAUUUACACACAUGUGUGAGCUGUGCCUCCCUCAAACCUUGUUAUGAUGUCUACAUAUUUAUUUAUCACAUCAGACACCUGUCUGAUG
rfam:Pan troglodytes isolate Yerkes chimp pedigree #C0471 (Clint) chromosome 1, whole genome shotgun sequence.